rnacentral:rRNA from 1 species
AGUGAACGCUGGCGGUAGGCCUAACACAUGCAAGUCGAACGGCAGCACAGUAAGAGCUUGCUCUUACGGGUGGCGAGUGGCGGACGGGUGAGGAAUACAUCGGAAUCUACUUUUUCGUGGGGGAUAACGUAGGGAAACUUACGCUAAUACCGCAUACGACCUACGGGUGAAAGCAGGGGAUCUUCGGACCUUGCGCGAUCGAAUGAGCCGAUGUCGGAUUAGCUAGUUGGCGGGGUAAAGGCCCACCAAGGCGACGAUCCGUAGCUGGCCUGAGAGGAUGAUCAGCCACACUGGAACUGAGACACGGUCCAGACUCCUACGGGAGGCAGCAGUGGGGAAUAUUGGACAAUGGGCGCAAGCCUGAUCCAGCCAUACCGCGUGGGUGAAGAAGGCCUUCGGGUUGUAAAGCCCUUUUGUUGGGAAAGAAAAGCAGCAGGUUAAUACCCCGCUGUUCUGACGGUACCCAAAGAAUAAGCACCGGCUAACUUCGUG